UAAAUGUUUGCGCUCUGUGAGGUUCUGUAUCUUUAUUCUCCAAAUUCACCUCCCAUAGCAGACCUGCUCAGGCAGAGACCAACUUAAACAUUUCUUGAAACAGAUCGGGUGUCAGUGACAGGGAAAUACCAUGAUGUACAGAAUAUUUGAGCAAAAGUCCCCUGUAGGAUUCCAUUUUCUCUGCCGGAAAGCGGAGGCAAUGGGAACAUGCAGGGGAUGGGAGGGGGGCGGGGGGGCGGGGGGCGGGUAGGACAUAAAAAUGGAGACACCAACAAAGGACUGUGGGCUAAUUGGCCCACUGUCAUACAGAUCCCGUGAGGUUUUAUUGUAACUGAUAUUUUUUUAAAAUGUUGUUCCCAAAUCUAUCAUAAUCUCCUGGUGAGAAGCCUAGGCACAUGCCUUUGUAGAGUCUGUGGGUGAUUUUAGGAGAAGAUUAGGGAUUUAAGUCGAUGCAGCUGCUUUUCUUCUUAUUUAUUUAUUUGCAUCUCAGAUGCUGCUCCACCUCCCGGUCACUUCUCCACCCCAGAGUCCCUUAUCCCACUAUCCCUCCUUCCCUUUUCCUCUGAGAGGGUGCUUCCCCCCAGUAUUCCCCCACCCUGUGGCAUCAAUUCUCUUCAGGGUUAGGCACAUCCUUGUCUAAAGCAAGACAAGGCAACCCUAUUGGGGAACGGAUUUCACAGUCAGGCGACAGCUUUAAGGACAGCCUCUGCUCCAGUUGUUGGGGAUCCAUAUGGAGACUGAGCUGCACAUCUGCUACAUAUGUGGGAGUGGGGAAGGGGACCUCAGUCCAGACUGUGACUUUGGUUGGUGACUCAGUCUUUAAGAACUCCCAGGGGUUCAGGUUAGUUGACUCUGCUGGUCUUCCUGUGGAGUUCCUACCUUGUUUAGGGCCUUCAGUCCGUCCCCCAACUCUUCCAUAAGAUUCCCCGACUUUCAUCCAAUGUUUGACUGAGGGUCUCUGAAUCUAUUUCAGUCGGUUGCUGCAUAGAGCAACCUCUCAGAGGACAGUUAUGGUAGGUUCCUUGAGAGUCAACAGGAGAGCUGAUUUGGGCAGUUCAGACGUUCUGGUAGUGUCUAG
rnacentral:lncRNA from 1 species